rnacentral:rRNA from 1 species
AUUGAACGCUGGCGGCAUGCUUUACACAUGCAAGUCGAACGGUAACAGGCCGCAAGGUGCUGACGAGUGGCGGACGGGUGAGUAAUGCAUCGGAACGUGCCCAGUCGUGGGGGAUAACGCAGCGAAAGCUGUGCUAAUACCGCAUACGAUCUGUGGAUGAAAGCGGGGGACCGUAAGGCCUCGCGCGAUUGGAGCGGCCGAUGUCAGAUUAGGUAGUUGGUGGGGUAAAGGCUCACCAAGCCGACGAUCUGUAGCUGGUCUGAGAGGACGACCAGCCACACUGGGACUGAGACACGGCCCAGACUCCUACGGGAGGCAGCAGUGGGGAAUUUUGGACAAUGGGCGCAAGCCUGAUCCAGCCAUUCCGCGUGCAGGAUGAAGGCCCUCGGGUUGUAAACUGCUUUUGUACGGAACGAAAAGGCUCUGGUUAAUACCUGGGGCUCAUGACGGUACCGUAAGAAUAAGCACCGGCUAACUACGUGCCAGCAGCCGCCGUAAUAC